AUUGAACGCUGGCGGCAUGCCUUACACAUGCAAGUCGAACGGCAGCGGGCCUUCGGGUGCCGGCGAGUGGCGAACGAGUGAGUAAUGCAUCGGAACGUGCCAUUGAGUGGGGGAUAACGUAGCGAAAGUUACGCUAAUACCGCAUAUUCUGUGAGCAGGAAAGCAGGGGACCGCAAGGCCUUGCGCUCUUUGAGCGGCCGAUGUCAGAUUAGCUAGUUGGUGAGGUAAAGGCUUACCAAGGCGACGAUCUGUAGCGGGUCUGAGAGGAUGAUCCGCCACACUGGAACUGAGACACGGUCCAGACUCCUACGGGAGGCAGCAGUGGGGAAUUUUGGACAAUGGGCGCAAGCCUGAUCCAGCCAUGCCGCGUGAGUGAAGAAGGCC
rnacentral:rRNA from 1 species